UCCUGUCGGACCACAGCAGAGGACAAGGCAACCAAAUAAUCGUUGAAAGCUCUGCUCAUCACUAACCCUUAUCCACGACGCCUUGCCGGCAUGCACAGCGGUCAAGCUCAAUAGCAUAAAUGUUUUGAAGUUGUACCAGAUUCAGCAAUGUCUCCCAAUCACGUAAAAGGAUACGGUCGUUUCACACUUCUUUCACGAGGGAUGGAUGUUCUACAGCUCUAUUACAAGUUGGCCCUCUGUUGCAUGCAAUCAAUAUUGACACAAUG
rnacentral:lncRNA from 1 species